UACGAAGGAUCCAAGCGUUGUUCGGAUUCACUGGGCGUAAAGGGUGCGUAGGUGGUCGGGUAAGUCUGAUGUGAAAUCUCUGGGCUCAACCCAGAAAUGGCAUUGGAUACUAUUCGGCUAGAGGAGUGGAGGGGGGACUGGAAUACUUGGUGUAGCAGUGAAAUGCGUAGAUAUCAAGUGGAACACCAGUGGCGAAGGCGAGUCCCUGGACACUUCCUGACACUGAGGCACGAAAGCUAGGGGAGCAAACAGG
rnacentral:rRNA from 1 species